AAACACCGACGGAUUAAACAGCUGAUUUACGAGCCAAAUGAAAAAGACGCCUUGGAGAUCAGAUGGAGCUUUGAGGAAACGCAUCAUAUUCCUCAAAUAACUGACGGGACUCACAGACACAUGCAGGGUGUGAAAAACACUGAGGGCGAAGACGUACGGCUACAAAUCAUUGGUGACCCUGCAGAUCCACUCCUCGACUUGUUGCUGAAAAGCUGCAUAAAUUCUACACAUCUGAACCCAGAGGAGAAAUUUGUUAAUGUGAACCUCAGCUCACUCUGUAACAGUAGAAAACACUUUAGGGAUUUUGAAGUCGAGGUGGAGGGUGCUACUGAAGACAAGAGAUUUUCACUUCACCUUUACACCAGCUGUGAUAGCAACCUGCUGUGCACUGCCUAAUUUCUGUCAAAAUGAGAGAAACAACGCAAGCAACAACUGGUUGGAGAACGCUGGUCACUUUGAUGGCAUCUUUCCUCAGCCUGGACCACAAGUCUCGAUGCAGAGUCAUUCCAGUGGGAGCAGGACAACGAUGGCAUUGAAGGAGUACAUGUUCAAUCACUUCCCUCUCCGAAAUGGUCAUCUCCAUAAAAAAAAAAAAUCUGACAAACACAUAUAUAAAAUAAUAACCUGGCAGCACCACAACAAUUUGGUUAAAAA